CCAGACUUGAAGCUUUCCCAUAAUAACAACAAAGAGUUUGAGUAAGAAUUCCACAGCUUGCCUUCAUCUGUGGCAGACUUGCAUGAAUCAUUUUCAAAUAAAGAUAAUAACUCAGUUGGUCUUGUAGUCCAAACAAAAUGUGCUACUUCAGGAACAUUCACUUCCUAUGUGGACUUUGCUGCUGAGUCAGUGUGAGACCUUGAACAAGUCUCUGUUUGUUUCGUACCAUUCAGAUUUCCUCGUCUGUAAACAUUAAGUAUCUACAUUCACUAAAAGUAGUUCUGAAUGAAUGUUAUUUAAUGGUGCCAAUGAUGUUGGAGGAUACCUGUGCAUCUCAUGCUGUGGUUACAGCAUCAAUUGUGAUGAAUAUAGGAUACUGAGUCCCUCCUAGAAAUGACUUCAGGAACUUCACCCCCCAACUCCACAAUCUGGGAAUGGCAGACAGAUUCAGCACCAGGAGAACAUCACAUAAAGGACAAGUGUGUAUGUUUAAAAAUGGCAAGUUUCGGCCUGGCAUGGUGGCUCACGUCUAUAAUCCCAGCACUUUGGGAGGCUGAGUCUAAGUGUACAGUGCUUGUAAAGUCUGCAGUAGCAUACAGUAAUGUCCAAGGCUUUCACAUCCACUCACCACUCGCUCACUGACCCAGCCAGAGCAACUUCCAGUCCUGAAAGCUGCAUUCAUGUAUAGUUUGAGGGUAUCCAGCCUCAGAUUAUCUGAGGAUGUAGCUCAAGAUUUCCUAAUUUUGCAAACAGCAAGCUUCCCAGGAGAUUCUUAGAUUCCUGCUAACAAAAGGCGGAGACUCACUGGACAGUUACUGAAGAUAGACAGUAGGGGGCGGAAGGGCCCACGCUUCUUUGAUAUUGGUGGCUUUGGUUUUUCAGUGACGGGGGACACUUUGACUUCAGACUCAAUCACCACAAUUGCAAUCAAAAGACGGCUUUAGUUGGAACCUGGAACGUGCUAAUCCUGUCAGGCAGCCUGUGAUUCUGGAAGUGAAGGAACAAAAAAAAAAAAAAAAAGGGAAAAUUUCACAUAAAAUUUCCAUAUGAGGAAGAAGAUGGAAACUUUUGUGUUGUGCGUUCAGUAAAACGGGCACUUUCUUAAGCAGGUGGCAAAGAAAGCCUGAGAAUCCGGCCUGACUUUUUCAUUUCAGAACCCUGCAUUUCCCACACAGAGGAGAUAGAGCACAGCCAUUGCAUGGUAGAUCCAGCUUGCUCUCACAGCCAUUGUGCAAAUAAACAUACAUGUGGCAAGGCAGUGCAGUUUUCAGUUGUUAAAAGUUCUGUCAUGCCACGAGAUGGAGCAAAGGAUAAACGCUGAUGUAAACAGGCAACAGGACUCUGACUCCACACCCCUGUCUGCACGGAGGAUGCUCAGUCCUUACACAACAAAAUGUGAGAUGCUUCCAGUCACCUCCUGGCCCUGACCCCUGAGCUCCGUGCUCACCCCACUGGAGGUCCUGGCAGUUCUCCGAGCAGGCUGUACCUGUCUGGGGUGAUCCUCUCCACUUAAUGUUAGACAUUAAGUUCCCUGUGAAAUCUGUUUUGACUCACUGAGGUUAUGAAUAUUUUAUCACAACUAUCAUCAUAUACUACCAAAUCUCCAAUUUUCUUAUCUCCAUUACUAGACUGUGAGCUCCCUGGAGGCUGGACCUGGGUUUGGCACCGAGUGGCACUCAUACAUACUUCUUGAAUAAGAGAAUGUAUGUACACAGUGGCAUGAAAUUGAUUUGAAUUUGUUGGUUUUCUUAAGUGCUAAAGUUGUAGACAGUUCAGUAAAAACUAUAAAGCGGUUACCCUGUAAACCAUGAGUACUAUUAAUUGGAACCUCCUUUCUUACAUAUCCACUUGUGUUUCUGUUAAUGUUUCCAAAAUAAAUAAAGAGCAGGCUAGAGGGAAACCUCCAGUCCUUAGAAACCACGGCA
rnacentral:lncRNA from 1 species